UACGUAGGGCGCAAGCGUUAUCCGGAAUUAUUGGGCGUAAAGAGCUCGUAGGCGGUUUGUCGCGUCUGCCGUGAAAGUCCGGGGCUCAACUCCGGAUCUGCGGUGGGUACGGGCAGACUAGAGUGAUGUAGGGGAGACUGGAAUUCCUGGUGUAGCGGUGAAAUGCGCAGAUAUCAGGAGGAACACCGAUGGCGAAGGCAGGUCGCUGGGACGACACUGACGCUGAGACGCGAAAGCGUGGGGAGCGAACAGG
rnacentral:rRNA from 1 species